rnacentral:rRNA from 1 species
UACGAAGGGGGCUAGCGUUGCUCGGAAUUACUGGGCGUAAAGGGCGCGUAGGCGGAUAUUUAAGUUGGGGGUGAAAUCCCGGGGCUCAACCUCGGAAUUGCCUUCAAAACUGGAUAUCUUGAGUUCGGGAGAGGUGAGUGGAACUCCGAGUGUAGAGGUGAAAUUCGUAGAUAUUCGGAAGAACACCAGUGGCGAAGGCGACUCACUGGCCUGUAACUGACGCUGAGGCGCGAAAGCGUGGGGAGCAAACAGG